rnacentral:rRNA from 1 species
CAAUAGCGUAUAUUAAAGUUGUUGCGGUAAAAAAGCUCGUAGUUGGAUUUCUGUUGAGAGCGACCGGUCCAUACCAUGUAUGCGUAUCUGGCUUGCUCUCGGCAUCCUCUCGAUAGACGUUACUGCGCUUGAUUGCGUGGUGCGGAUCUCGGGACUUUUACUUUGAGGAAAUUAGAGUGUUCACGGCAGGCUUUCGCCAGAAUACAUUAGCAUGGAAUAAUACUAUAGGAUCUUGGUUCUAUUUUGUUGGUUUCCAGAAUUGAGAUAAUGAUUAAUAGGGACAAUUGGGGGCAUUCGUAUCAACACGUCAGAGGUGGAAUUCUUGGAUUGUGUUGCGACGAACUACUGCGAAAGCAUUUGCCAAGGAUGUUUUCAUUGA